rnacentral:pre_miRNA from 1 species
UUUACUCAAAUUUGUAUGGAGUUGGAACGUUUGCCUACGUUUGCCGCUAGGGGCGCUGUUCCAACUGCAUACAAAUUUGAGUUA